GUCUAGGCUUUUAUUUGAGAAAAUAGGGUACAUGUAAUUGUAAUGUACUCAAUGUGUGAAUGUACUUACUGAUUGUUUAUAUUAGGUAUACAGUGUCUCAUCCAGGACUAUCAGUUCAAGGACUCUCAGUUAAUGAUAGAGUUAAACAUUUGAAACAUCUCUCAACAGCUUCAAACUUGUCAACAUCAUAACUAACUGUACAUGUAUGUGUUCAAUAAUAUUAUUUUCCAUUAUAAUGAUACACCUGCACCCACACACAACUAAACAUAAUUCAUGUGUUAUAAAGAACAAAUUAUAAAUAUACAAUAAUUUUUAAAACCACAUGCAUGAAUGUAAAUUGGGUAAUUCUCUCUCAUACAUGUUAUUGACUGCUACUUUUGCAAGUUGAGAA